rnacentral:rRNA from 1 species
UGGCUCAGAAUGAACGCUGGCGGCAUGGAUUAGGCAUGCAAGUCGAACGUACUCCCUUCGGGGAGAAAGUGGCGAAAGGGUGAGUAACACGUGAGCAACCUGCCUCCGGAUCCGGAAUAAUCCAGGGAAACUUGGUCUAAAACCGGAUGAAGACAUUGGGCCGCAUGGUCUGGUGUUAAAAUAUUUAUAGUCCGGAGAGGGGCUCGCGGCCCAUUAGCUUGUUGGCGGGGUAAUGGCCCACCAAGGCUACGACGGGUAGGUGGUCUGAGAGGAUGGUCACCCACACUGGGACUGAGACACUGCCCAGACUCCUACGGGAGGCUGCAGUCGAGAAUCUUCCGCAAUGGGCGCAAAGCCUGACGGAGCGAUGCCGCGUGAGGGAUGAAGGCCUUCGGGUUGUAAACCUCUGUCAUCCGGGACGAAAACAAUGACGGUACCGGAAAAGGAAGCCACGGCUAACCACGUGCCAGCCGCCGC